CGAGUUAUUAAUUCACAUUGAUCAGCACACCUGGUAAGAGGCCUAAACUGUCUGUGCCACUCUGCUGGUCAGCAUGUCCCUUCUCUUCAGGGCCUUUUACCCGGGAAGCCGGCUGAUUGCAAGCAUGCUCUUGGUGUGUGCAUGUGCCAGAGGAAAGGGCUGUGGGUGCUGAUGUUACUGUCCGCCGCUGUUUGCUGUUGGUGUGAUUGCCUGCAAAUGUUCUUAGUAGAGUGAGUCAUUUUUGUCUGUUUGCCGCAGACCUCAUGCUACAGACUAUGCCACACAUAAAAAGGUGUCCCUGCCACUUGCUAGUAGAUGCUCGAGGAUGCAGACGAUUAAAAUCUUACCAGUGGCAGGUCCUGAUCCUGAAUGCCAGCGUGUAGAGUUGAUUAAGUCUUUACAGAAAGAAGCACGUUUGAGGGCUUCUGCUCACCAGGAGACAAUCCGUCUGCAGAACCAGGGGGUGCCAAGUGCCCCCUACCAGGACUCGAACAGUGAUGAGGAGGGUGAAGCCGUCGAAAACCACAACCAAGGGGAACGCGGAGAGGAAGGGGCCAGAAUCUAUUCUCCAGAGAGUGAUGAGGGACCAGAUGGAGAUGGGGCUCAAAGAUCACUGACAGCAAAGAAACUCACCACUGAUAAGAUGAACCCUCCAGAAAGAGGAAAGCAGGGAGUGAAGAGGAAGAGGAUGACUGAAGCAUAA
rnacentral:lncRNA from 1 species